UGCAGAGUCCCAAGAUAGCAGUGAUCAGGGGAUUUCCCACAUUGGUAGAUGAGGGUCCACACAGGGGUGGCAGACUGAGAGUUAUUACUCAUGGGAAGCUCCAGAUGUCCUCCAUGGAAGCAGCAUCUGUGAUUUCUGCUCGACUUGGUGGCCAAAAGUUCUUUGUGGGUACUGCUUCCACUGCCAUGAAUGGUCUCACUCAGGUAUCCAGUAGUCCUGUGUGGGCUAGUAGUUGGGAGACCUACUCUGAUGCCCAGGCCUGGAGCCCUGGACAGAUUCUGAAUCACUGAUGUACACUAACAGGAAAGAACCACCACCAUUGAAGCAAGUGAUCAUGACAAUUAUAAGGGUGAAUACCAUUAAUUAAAAAUAAUUAUGGUAGCUCUAGGAUUAUAGUGACAGUCGUGUCACACUGUUACUUCAUGCUCAGCUUCUGUGGACUAAGAGAACAAUUUCAACCCUGGCUCCCCUGAUUACUCCUGUUGGGAGUGGCCUCGGCUCCAAAGACUAACUUCCCCAUCCUCCGAGAAGAGCCGUCCAAUGGUGAGCCCUGCUGGCUCACAUGAUCCUUACCCACCUAUCAGACUAGCCUUGCUGGAUCACAUGAAUCUUACCCACCAAUCAGAAAGCACCCCAUGCCAACUGUCAAAUUAUUAAACUGUUAUACUGUCAUAACUGUCAAACCAUCCCCAGUUCUAUAAAUAUGCAGAGCUGUUCCUCAGUAAAUGGGCAUUUUCUCC